UACGUAGGGGGCAAGCGUUGUCCGGAAUCAUUGGGCGUAAAGCGCGCGUAGGCGGCCCGGUAAGUCCGCUGUGAAAGUCAAAGGCUCAACCUUUGAAUGCCGGUGGAUACUGUCGGGCUAGAGUCCGGAAGAGGCGAGUGGAAUUCCUGGUGUAGCGGUGGAAUGCGCAGAUAUCAGGAGGAACACCAAUAGCGAAGGCAGCUCGCUGGGACGGUACUGACGCUAAGGCGCGAAAGCGUGGGGAGCGAACAGG
rnacentral:rRNA from 1 species